GACGCUACGGCGGCGGGAAGUGAGUUCCGUCCUCUCGCGGCCUCUCGGCCUGGGAAACAAAAGUCAAAUGGAAGCAUCAACUUGGGAUGGUGUUGGGAAGGAACUAUCCAAUUUGGUGAAAAUAAAAAGGUUCAUCAGGGAUGAUUCCUGUUUUAUCUGCAUUAGGAGAGGUCUGGGAAUGUGAGGACCAGGUAGAAAUGCUCCAUAGAAAUCCAGAGGUGCAUUUGAGGCAAACAGCAUCCACACACAAGGACCCAGAGCAUCUAUGAGGGGCUGUGGUCACCAUGACCAUUGUGGUCAUCUGCUCAGUCCUAGCUUCAUGUCAAAGAGGUCCUCAAACAACAGGUUUCUGUGAACAUGACUCAAAGGUUAAACAUUUUAGUUACAUACAUAAUUGUCAGAAAGGCUCUAACGGUCAAAUUCUUGAGGAAAAUGAUGACUGUAGAGCAGCCAUCAGCCAGGGUGGACAACCUAGCCACCUUGAUGAAGAUCUAACAAGGAGAUGAGCCUUCAAAAUGUAACGAAGGUGGUAACUCCUUCAGCCUUUCUA
rnacentral:lncRNA from 1 species